AGGGUUCGAUCCUGGCUCAGAUUGAACGCUGGCGGUAUGCUUAACACAUGCAAGUCGAACGGAGACGAUACUAGCUUGCUAGUAGGCGUCGAGUGGCGGACGGGUGAGUAACGCGUAGGAAUCUGCCUGAUAGUGGGGGAUAGCCCGAAGAAAUUCGGAUUAAUACCGCAUAAUCUAUUCGUAGUAAAGUGGGGGACUUUCGAGCCUCACGCUAUCAAAUGAGCCUGCGUAAGAUUAGCUUGUUGGUAGGGUAAAAGCCUACCAAGGCGACGAUCUUUAGCUGGUCUGAGAGGAUGAUCAGCCACAUCGGGACUGAGACACGGCCCGAACUCCUACGGGAGGCAGCAGUGGGGAAUAUUGGACAAUGGGGGCAACCCUGAUCCAGCAAUACCGCGUGUGUGAAGAAGGCCUGAGGGUUGUAAAGCACUUUCAAUUGUGAAGAAAAGUUAGCGGUUAAUAACCGUUAGCCUUGACGUUAACUUUAGAAGAAGCACCGGCUAACUCCGUGCCAGCAGCCGCGGUAAUACGGAGGGUGCAAGCGUUAAUCGGAAUUACUGGGCGUAAAGCGUGCGUAGGCGGUUUAUUAAGUCAGAUGUGAAAGCCCCGGGCUUAACCUGGGAACUGCAUUUGAAACUGGUCAACUAGAGUAUGGUAGAGGAAAGUGGAAUUUCUGGUGUAGCGGUGAAAUGCGUAGAUAUCAGAAGGAACAUCAAUGGCGAAGGCAGCUUUCUGGACCAAUACUGACGCUGAGGUACGAAAGCGUGGGUAGCAAACAGGAUUAGAUACCCUGGUAGUCCACGCCGUAAACGAUGAUAACUAGCCGUUGGGGGGAUUUACCCUUUAGUGGCGAAGCUAACGCGUUAAGUUAUCCGCCUGGGGAGUACGGCCGCAAGGUUAAAACUCAAAUGAAUUGACGG
rnacentral:rRNA from 1 species